rnacentral:rRNA from 1 species
AGAGUUUGAUCCUGGCUCAGGACGAACGCUGGCGGCACGCUUAACACAUGCAAGUCGAACGAGAGAAGAGGAGCUUGCUUUUCUGAUCUAGUGGCGGACGGGUGAGUAACACGUGAGCAAUCUGCCUUUCAGAGGGGGAUACCGAUUGGAAACGAUCGUUAAUACCGCAUAACAUAAUUGAACCGCAUGAUUUGAUUAUCAAAGAUUUAUCGCUGAAAGAUGAGCUCGCGUCUGAUUAGCUAGUUGGUAAGGUAACGGCUUACCAAGGCGACGAUCAGUAGCCGAACUGAGAGGUUGAUCGGCCACAUUGGGACUGAGACACGGCCCAGACUCCUACGGGAGGCAGCAGUGGGGAAUAUUGCACAAUGGAGGAAACUCUGAUGCAGCGAUGCCGCGUGAGGGAAGAAGGUUUUAGGAUUGUAAACCUCUGUCUUCAGGGACGAAAAAAGACGGUACCUGAGGAGGAAGCUCCGGCUAACUACGUGCCAGCAGCCGCGGUAAUACGUAGGGAGCGAGCGUUGUCCGGAAUUACUGGGUGUAAAGGGAGCGUAGGCGGGAUCGCAAGUCAGAUGUGAAAACUAUGGGCUUAACCCAUAAACUGCAUUUGAAACUGUGGUUCUUGAGUGAAGUAGAGGUAAGCGGAAUUCCUAGUGUAGCGGUGAAAUGCGUAGAUAUUAGGAGGAACAUCAGUGGCGAAGGCGGCUUACUGGGCUUUAACUGACGCUGAGGCUCGAAAGCGUGGGGAGCAAACAGGAUUAGAUACCCUGGUAGUCCACGCCGUAAACGAUGAUUACUAGGUGUGGGGGGACUGACCCCUUCCGUGCCGCAGCAAACGCAAUAAGUAAUCCACCUGGGGAGUACGACCGCAAGGUUGAAACUCAAAGGAAUUGACGGGGGCCCGCACAAGCAGUGGAGUAUGUGGAUUAAUUCGAAGCAACGCGAAGAACCUUACCAGGUCUUGACAUCGUAUGCAUAGCUCAGAGAUGAGUGAAAUCUCUUCGGAGACAUAUAGACAGGUGGUGCAUGGUUGUCGUCAGCUCGUGUCGUGAGAUGUUGGGUUAAGUCCCGCAACGAGCGCAACCCUUACUGUUAGUUGCUACGCAAGAGCACUCUAGCAGGACUGCCGUUGACAAAACGGAGGAAGGUGGGGAUGACGUCAAAUCAUCAUGCCCCUUAUGACCUGGGCCUCACACGUACUACAAUGGCUGUCAACAGAGGGAAGCAAAGCCGCGAGGUGGAGCGAACCCCUAAAAGCGGUCUUAGUUCGGAUUGUAGGCUGCAACCCGCCUACAUGAAGUCGGAAUUGCUAGUAAUCGCAGAUCAGCAUGCUGCGGUGAAUACGUUCCCGGGCCUUGUACACACCGCCCGUCACGCCAUGGGAGUCGGUAACACCCGAAGCCUGUAGUCUAACCGCAAGGAGGACGCAGUCGAAGGUGGGAUUGAUGACUGGGGUGAAGUCGUAACAAGGUA